GGCUUAGGAUGAACGCUAGCGGCAGGCCUAACACAUGCAAGGUCGAGGGGUAACAGGGCGUAGCAAUACGCUGCUGACGACCGGCGCACGGGUGCGUAACGCGUAUGCAACCUACCCGUAACAGGGGGAUAACGGAGAGAAAUUUCCACUAAUACCCCGUAUAGUCGAGGGACCGCAUGGUUUUUCGACGAAAGCCUUGGUGGUUACGGAUGGGCAUGCGUGGCAUUAGAUAGUUGGCGGGGCAACGGCCCACCAAGUCGACGAUGCCUAGGGGAGCUGAGAGGCUAAUCCCCCACACUGGUACUGAGACACGGACCAGACUCCUACGGGAGGCAGCAGUGAGGAAUAUUGGUCAAUGGUCGGAAGACUGAACCAGCCAUGCCGCGUGAGGGAGGAAGGCCCUAUGGGUUGUAAACCUCUUUUGCCUCGGGGCAAUAAGGUUCAUGCGUGGACCGAUGAGAGUACGAGGCGAAUAAGCAUCGGCUAACUCCGUGCCAGCCGCAGC
rnacentral:rRNA from 1 species